GUAACAUUUCAUUCAUUUUGUCCUGGAUGCACACGUGAGGUGUUCUGGAUCAGAGACAGAUUUCCUGUUCAUUACCUUAAGUUUCUUCCUCUUUCAAGCAGUUGUGGGGUAUGGAUUUGCCAACAGAGAAGCCAUCUGGCAGUGACAGGUUUGGACGGCUUUCUUUCCAGCGCACGAUGGAGCUGGGUCUCCUUCCGCCUUCCUUCCGCCGCUUCCUCUCCUUUCUCCUCGCUGUUGUGUGCUGCUGACCACUAGGUGGUGCUGCUGAUCGCUAGAUAGUCUCGGGUUAUCGCUGCCGGAGACUCGAGGAGAGUUGUCCUGGAGCUCAGGGACCAGAAGACAGGUUCCAACAGAGAGGAGGAUGUAGAAGCUCACCUUCUCUGUGGAAAUAUAGAAAUGACAGGGGAAAAGUCACACCCUAAAUCAAAGAUGCUUAAUGGAGGUGAUUAUAGCAUACUCUGGUCAAUGAGAGGAUUUUGUAAUCAGCUCCAUCACUUUGUGUUGUAGUUGUUAUUCUGGGUAUGGAAUCCCAGGGCCUCCCACAUGCUAGGCAAACGCUGUACCACUGAGCUACAUCCCAGCCUUUGUAUCAAGAAUGGAU
rnacentral:lncRNA from 1 species